rnacentral:rRNA from 1 species
UACGUAGGGAGCGAGCGUUGUCCGGAAUUACUGGGUGUAAAGGGUGCGUAGGCGGGACUGCAAGUCAGACGUGAAAUACCGGGGCUUAACUCCGGGGCUGCGUUUGAAACUGUGGUUCUUGAGUGAAGUAGAGGCAGGCGGAAUUCCUAGUGUAGCGGUGAAAUGCGUAGAUAUUAGGAGGAACACCAGUGGCGAAGGCGGCCUGCUGGGCUUUAACUGACGCUGAUGCACGAAAGCAUGGGGAGCAAACAGGAUUAGAUACCCUGGUAGUCCAUGCCGUAAACGAUGAUAGCUAGGUGUGGGGGGACUGACCCCUUCCGUGCCGGAGUAAACACAAUAAGCUAUCCACCUGGGGAGUACGAUCGCAAGAUUGAA